rnacentral:rRNA from 1 species
CUAAGGAAUUGGUAGAGGAACAUUGCAUAGGGGAAGAAGCAGUACCGAAAGGAGCUGUGGACUUUAUGGAAGAGAGAAUGCCGGAAUGAGUAGCGAGAGUAAGGUGAGAAUCCUUACGGCCGAAUAUCUAAGGUUUCCAGGGUAAAGCUGAUCUGCCCUGGGUAAGUCGGGACCUAAGGCGAGGUCGAAAGACGUAGUCGAUGGACAACAGGUUGAAAUUCCUGUACUGCGAUAUAACAGAACUGUGGGGACACGUGUGGAAAGCACAUCCCGGGAAUGGAAUCCCGGGGCAAGCGAGGUAGGAGUCUGGUAGGCAAAUCCGCCAGGCAAUCUGAAGACGUGAUGCGGACCGAAAAGAAGUAGGGAAGUGUGUGAGCCAUGCGUCGAGAAAAGCCGCUAUUGUUUAUAUCGUACCCGUACCGUAAACCGACACAGGUGGAUGAGGAGAGAAUCCUAAGGCCGACGGAAGAAGCAUUGUUAAGGAACUCGGCAAAAUGACCCCGUAACUUCGGGAGAAGGGGUGCCACAGAGAUGUGGCCGCAGAGAAUAGGCUCAAGCAACUGUUUAGCAAAAACACAGGUCUAUGCAAAACCGAAAGGUGAGGUAUAUGGGCUGACGCCUGCCCGGUGCUGGAAGGUUAAGAGGAGAGGUUAGCGCAAGCGAAGCUUUGAAUUUAAGCCCCAGUAAACGGCGGCCGUAACUAUAACGGUCCUAAGGUAGCGAAAUUCCUUGUCGGGUAAGUUCCGACCCGCACGAAAGGCGUAAUGAUUUGAGCGCUGUCUCAACAAUGCAUCCGGUGAAAUUGAAAUACCAGUGAAGAUGCUGGUUACCUGCGCCAGGACGGAAAGACCCCAUGGAGCUUUACUCCAGUUUGGUACUGGGACUCGGUAUUGCAUGUACAGGAUAGGUGGGAGACGAAGAGGCAUGGACGCCAGUCUAUGCGGAGUCGCUGUUGGGAUACCACCCUUGUGAUAUUGGGUUUCUAACCAGCCGCCGUAAUCCGGCGGUGGGACAAUGCCAGGCGGGGAGUUUGACUGGGGCGGUCGCCUCCGAAAGGGUAUCGGAGGCGCCCAAAGGUUCCCUCAGAAUGGUCGGAAACCAUUCGCAGAGUGCAAAGGCAGAAGGGAGCUUGACUGCGACACCGACGGGUGGAGCAGGUACGAAAGUAGGGCUUAGUGAUCCGGUGGUAUUAAGUGGGAAUGCCAUCGCUCAACGGAUAAAAGCUACCCUGGGGAUAACAGGCUUAUCACUCCCAAGAGUUCACAUCGACGGAGUGGUUUGGCACCUCGAUGUCGGCUCAUCGCAUCCUGGGGCUGUAGUAGGUCCCAAGGGUUGGGCUGUUCGCCCAUUAAAGCGGUACGCGAGCUGGGUUCAGAACGUCGUGAGACAGUUCGGUCCCUAUCCGGCGUGGGCGUAGGAUAUUUGAGAGGAGCUGCCCUUAGUACGAGAGGACCGGGGUGGACGGACCGCUGGUGUACCGGUUGUUCUGCCAAGAGCAUGGCCGGGUAGCCAAGUCUGGAAGGGAUAAACGCUGAAGGCAUCUAAGCGUGAAGCCCCCCUCAAGAUGAGAUAUCCCAUUCGAAAGAAGUAAGACCCCUUGAAGACGACGAGGUAGAUAGGACAGAGGUGGAAGUGCAGUAAUGUAUGGAGCUGACUGUUACUAAUCGGUCGAGGGCUUGACCUA